AGUGAACGCUGGCGGUAGGCCUAACACAUGCAAGUCGAACGGCAGCACAGUAAGAGCUUGCUCUUACGGGUGGCGAGUGGCGGACGGGUGAGGAAUACAUCGGAAUCUACUUUUUCGUGGGGGAUAACGUAGGGAAACUUACGCUAAUACCGCAUACGACCUACGGGUGAAAGCAGGGGAUCUUCGGACCUUGCGCGAUUGAAUGAGCCGAUGUCGGAUUAGCUAGUUGGCGGGGUAAAGGCCCACCAAGGCGACGAUCCGUAGCUGGUCUGAGAGGAUGAUCAGCCACACUGGAACUGAGACACGGACCAGACUCCUACGGGAGGCAGCAGUGUGGAAUAUUGGACAAUGGGGGCAAGCCUGACCCAGCGAGCCAGCGUGGGUGACGAAGGCGUUGGGGUUGUGAAGCCCUUUUGUUGGGAAAGAACCGCAGCAGGUUGAUACCCAGCUGUUCUGACGGUACCCAAAGAAUAAGCACCGGCUAACUUCGUG
rnacentral:rRNA from 1 species